rnacentral:snoRNA from 1 species
CGCAGAUGAUGGUUUGUCUCACGAUGGUCUGCCGAGCCCGCGGUGGGGGCUCUGACGACGCUGCCACACGGCUUCGCUGAUGCCCGGCG